CUUUGUUAACAAAAAAAAAAAAAAUCAAGAUCAUUUCAAGACCAAACCAUAAGGAACAAUUAGGAUUGCAGUAAAGACUUUGUAGGUAAGGACACAGCAUAGGUGGCAUGACUGGACAUCGCUCAAGUGGCCAACCAUCAAACUCACUAUUUUAGUCAUAUAGGCAUUUUGUUCCACUACGCUAAUGUUUAAGGAUCCUGGUAUUUUGUAAAAUAAACUUUUGUAUAGUUUUGAUACUUAAUUCAUAAAAUUUUGGAUGUGUUCUUUUGAAA